AUUGAACGCUGGCGGCAGGCCUAACACAUGCAAGUCGAGCGAGCGGCGGACGGGUGAGUAAUGCCUGGGAAUUGCCCAGUCGAGGGGGAUAACAGUUGGAACCGACUGAUAAUACCGCAUACGUAUGGACUGCCCAGGGGGUAUUAGCGAGUUGGUGCGGGACUGGCUCACCAAGGGCACGAUCCCUAGCUGGUCUGAGAGGAGGAGCAGCCACACUGGAACUGAGACACGGUCCAGACUCCUACGGGAGGCAGCAGUGGGGAAUAUUGCACAAUGGGGGAAACCCUGAUGCAGCCAUGCCGCGUGUGUGAAGAAGGCCUUCGGGUUGUAAAGCACUUUCAGCGAGGAGGCGUUACUCGCAGAAGAAGCACCGGCUAACUCCGUGCCAGCCGCCGCGGUAAUAC
rnacentral:rRNA from 1 species